UUUUAAGUUGGCGGCUACGGACUGAUCGUUCUGAGAUUAUACUGUCUGAACUUGAUCUGGAUAAUUCCAGCGAAAGGACAUGUGACGCUUGAUAU
rnacentral:ncRNA from 1 species